GACGAACGCUGGCGGCGUGCUUAACACAUGCAAGUCGAACGGAAAGGCCUCUUUCGGGGGGUACUCGAGUGGCGAACGGGUGAGUAACACGUGUGUAACCUGCCCUUGACUUUGGGAUAACUUCAGGAAACUGGGGCUAAUACCGGAUAGGAGCUCCUGCUGCAUGGUGGGGGUUGGAAAGUUUCGGCGGUUGGGGAUGGACUCGCGGCUUAUCAGCUUGUUGGUGGGGUAGUGGCUUACCAAGGCUUUGACGGGUAGCCGGCCUGAGAGGGUGACCGGCCACAGUGGGACUUAGAUACGGCCCAGACUCCUACGGGAGGCAGCAGGGGGGAAUAUUGCACAAUGGGUGGAAGCCUGAUGCAGCAACGCCGGGGGCGGGAUGACGGCCUUCGGGUUGUAAACCGCUUUCGCUCAUGACGAAGCUUUGUGUGACGGUAGUGGGUAAAGAAGCACCGGCUAACUACGUG
rnacentral:rRNA from 1 species